CCUACGGGCGGCAGCAGUGGGGAAUAUUGCGCAAUGGGCGAAAGCCUGACGCAGCGACGCCGCGUGAGGGAUGAAGGUCUUCUGAUCGUAAACCUCUUUCAGCAGGGAAGAACGGUCACUGUGCUAAUCUGCCGUGAAUUGACUGUGCCUGCAAAGGCAGCACCGGCUAACUCCGUGCCAGCAGCCGCGGUAAUACGGAGGGUGCGAGCGUUAAUCGGAAUUACUGGGCGUAAAGCGCUCGUAGGCGGUAGGUCAAGUCAAGGGUGAAAUCCCCGCGCUCAACGGUGGAACUGCCUUUGAAACUGGCAAACUGGAGUGUGUGAGAGGAUAGUGGAAUUCCAGGUGUAGGAGUGAAAUCCGUAGAUAUCUGGAGGAACACCAGUGGCGAAGGCGACUAUCUGGCACAUAACUGACGCUGAGGAGCGAAAGCGUGGGUAGCAAACAGGAUUAGAUACCCUAGUAGUC
rnacentral:rRNA from 1 species